UCGUACUACUCCAUUCAAAUCAAGAAAAUGAAAUAUUAAAAUAAAGAUGGUUUGUCAAAGAAAGGAGAUUAACGUGUAUUUCUUUGAUGGGUGUUGCAGCAGGACUCCCUUUCAUCCAACAAGGGUCGUGACACCAAACCACCAAAUCCAAGGUAAAUGCUGAAUGUAUUUAAAUUGAAAAGCUUUGGAAUAUUUAAAUGCACAAGUGGCUGUAACAUCACUUCAUUCAAUCGCCAUGUCUUCAUUCAUUCAUCCACAAUCUAACAAUAAAAACAUUGUUCCGAAGCUCUCCUUCCAAAAUGUUGCAGCCCCCUCUUUUCCAAUUGNCGAGAGAAGCGUUCCAGCUCCC
rnacentral:lncRNA from 1 species